GCUGGCGACCGGCGCACGGGUGAGUAACACGUAUCCAACCUGUCUCAUACUCGGGGAUAGCCUUUCGAAAGAAAGAUUAAUAUCCGAUAGCAUAUAUUUCCCGCAUGGGUUUUAUAUUAAAGAAAUUCGGUAUGAGAUGGGGAUGCGUUCCAUUAGGCAGUUGGUGGGGUAACGGCCCACCAAACCUUCGAUGGAUAGGGGUUCUGAGAGGAAGGUCCCCCACAUUGGAACUGAGACACGGUCCAAACUCCUACGGGAGGCAGCAUG
rnacentral:rRNA from 1 species